UGAACGCUGGCGGCGUGCCUAAUACAUGCAAGUCGAGCGAACGGACGAGAAGCUUGCUUCUCUGAUGUUAGCGGCGGACGGGUGAGUAACACGUGGAUAACCUACCUAUAAGACUGGGAUAACUUCGGGAAACCGGAGCUAAUACCGGAUGAUAUUUUUAACCGCAUGGUUCAAAAGUGAAAGACGGUCUUGCUGUCACUUAUAGAUGGAUCCGCGCUGCAUUAGCUAGUUGGUAAGGUAACGGCUUACCAAGGCAACGAUGCAUAGCCGACCUGAGAGGGUGAUCGGCCACACUGGAACUGAGACACGGUCCAGACUCCUACGGGAGGCAGCAGUAGGGAAUCUUCCGCAAUGGGCGAAAGCCUGACGGAGCAACGCCGCGUGAGUGAUGAAGGUCUUCGGAUCGUAAAACUCUGUUAUUAGGGAAGAACAUAUGUGUAAGUAACUGUGCACAUCUUGACGGUACCUAAUCAGAAAGCCACGGCUAACUACGUG
rnacentral:rRNA from 1 species